UUGUAUAUUGUAUUGUAUAGAUUGUAUAUUCCCUAAUGUAAAAAUUGUAACUUUACUUAUUUUUGUAAGUUUUUUUUUUUAUAAUUAUUUAUCAAAUUGGCUUCCAAAUUGUACUGCACUUAACUAACAGCUUAGCAACGCCCUCAAAUUGAGCUACAUUAGACUAGUUAAGUGCAUAUGUUCAUAACUCUUAAUUAGCAGGUGCUUAAUCUGCUUUAAAAAAAAGCAAACAAAUUACAUUGCAAUGGCGCCUUGUAAAUAUUUAAUAACUACAAAAAAGAGCUGGAAGUAACUAAUUAAAAUAAAUAAAUGAACAUAUUUUAAUGUUUCGGAGUGUGCAUGCAUAAAAUAUUCAAGCGAUGCGACCGUAACUUAGAUUAAAUACCACGAGUAUCAAUGCUUGAAGCACCUACACCAAUACAUCUAUAAACAUACAAAUAUGUAGAUAUGUAUGUAUGUGUGCGCGCUUGACUCUGUAUCUCCGGGCACUUAAAGUGUGCUUGAUAUGUUAGCACCUAAAAGCUUACAGAGUAUUUGUUUUUGAGACGCCGCAGCGGAAACACCAAUUUUAUGAUCAAUAUUUAUUGUUUGGAGACUGCUUAUCAAUAUUAUUAUCAAGUAAAGUACAUGCGUACCUAAUAUUAAAAGUCUUUAAGACAUGUGUACAUACAAGUACAAUUACAUACAUAUUAACAUAUUCCUUCUUCUAUUAGUUGUGAAUUGCAAUUGAAUCGAUGACUUAAGAGAUUUGCAAUGUGGGCGCGUCUGUACAAUUAAAAAUAGCUGUAAACAUCGAAAGUAGCCAAAAAUAGAGCUGGGAAUUAAUUCGAGUUACUUGAGAACAUAGCACACACACUUGUGUGUACACAUAUAUACUCACUCACACCAGUGCAGUCCACGCGCAACUGUAAAGCAAACAACAAAAAAUUGAAACUACAGCAACCCAAGCAUUCAGACAGGCUAUAAAAAUCGACACACACACAUACAUACACCAACGGUUGUGUAGUUGCCAUAGUACUAGAGCGUGCUAGGCAGAGAGACAGAGAUAAAGAUAGAGAGAGGGAUCGAGCAAACUAGCGACAUGUGCAUGCGAUAAAAUGCAACGAGCAUAUACGCCUUAGAGGCAGUGCCAGUGUUUUCGACACUCUGGUCCGAGCGAAUGCAAGAGGAUGUGCAGUGUUUUCAACGCACGUGCCGACGCCUCGGUCAAUGAACCGCGCAAGAAACAAGAAGAGAGCAGAACGAACAUAGCAGAUGGAAUGAAUCGAUGAGGGAGGGCAACACAUAGCAAAUGCAGUGGCAAACGCGUGCAAGACUGAUGGAGUGCUACGUCUGCACUCUCUCUUAGUCGAACAGUGUAAUGGUGUGUGUAUGUGCGAGAGAGUUUUCAUUAUUAUAUUUUUGUUGUUGUUCAUUUUUGGUCGUUGCCGCGUGUAAUGCAGUUAUUAUUGACGCAGUCUGGACGUCGACACUCCCUCUGCUUCCAAUGUGAUCACUCUUUCUGCUGUUCUUCUUUUCCUUCGCUGCUCAAUAAAGCGAAGACGGAGAAUGAGAGAGACAGAGCGUAAAAGUGCCUAUUUACAAUCUGGCGACAUUAGCUCAACAAUUUUUCAAUUUCAACUUCUAUUGUACAACAAUAAAUGUCAUGCGCUAGCUGAACGUUAGAAGAGGAAGCAGCAAAUAGAACUGAGACAAAAACAACGCGGGCGACAGCAACAACCGCAACAAAACAGCUGCUGAGACGGCAAUAGUCAUAAAACUAAAAUGCUAAAGGUGUUUUAUAAUCAAGUAAUAUUCGAAUGAUAAUUAACUAAAUGCAUGUGUGCAUCAAUAUAUAUUCAUAUGUAUGUAUAUGUGUACUUGUGCAGUUAGACAAACAUGGAUUUACAUAUUUAUGCACAUGUAAUAAAUUACAGAUUUUUCUAACUUAUUUAUUGAUAUGAUACAAAACUAAUAGUCAUUAAAAAAGUAAAUAAUAAAAUG